rnacentral:pre_miRNA from 1 species
CAAGUACUCCCUCCGUCCGGAAUCACUUGUCAUCAAAAUGGAUGUGUCUAGAACUAAAAUACAUCUAGAUACAUCCAUUUCAAUGACAAGUAUUUUUGGAUGGAGGGAGUACAAG